GAAGCUCCUGGGUCUUUGCUCUCUCUUCCUCAAUAGCAGCCUGCAACACCACUCCUCUUUAGCAUUGUAAUCAUCGACGGCCGCACACAUAAUGUAAUGGAGGAAAGGUAUCUGAUUCUGUAUAACUAACCUUGAUUUCGAGAUCCAUUGGCCGUGGACGAGGCCUUAUCUCAGGAUCGGAGCUCGUCUGGCGCCUCUUGAUCUGCGGGAGAGUGCUAGUACAACGUAUCAGUCCAUCCCCAAUGGCUAACAAGCCAUGGUUCCUCCCGCCACCAGAUAUCAUCACCAG
rnacentral:lncRNA from 1 species